rnacentral:ncRNA from 1 species
UUGGAGGCUGGAAAUCGGUCUCGCGGACGAGGGAGCAGUACCCGCACCGGACAAGACUGACUCGUA